CAUUGGAAGAUGAGACCAAUGUGUCUACAGU
rnacentral:piRNA from 1 species